rnacentral:rRNA from 1 species
AGCGAACGCUGGCGGCAGGCCUAACACAUGCAAGUCGAACGAACCCUUCGGGGUUAGUGGCGGACGGGUGAGUAACACGUGGGAACGUGCCUUUAGGUUCGGAAUAACUCAGGGAAACUUGUGCUAAUACCGAAUGUGCCCUUCGGGGGAAAGAUUUAUCGCCUUUAGAGCGGCCCGCGUCUGAUUAGCUAGUUGGUGAGGUAAUGGCUCACCAAGGCUACGAUCAGUAGCUGGUCUGAGAGGAUGACCAGCCACAUUGGGACUGAGACACGGCCCAAACUCCUACGGGAGGCAGCAGUGGGGAAUCUUGCGCAAUGGGCGAAAGCCUGACGCAGCCAUGCCGCGUGAUGAUGAAGGUCUUAGGAUUGUAAAAUCCUUUCACCGGUGAAGAUAAUGACUGUAGCCGGAGAAGAAGCCCCGGCUAACUUCGUGCCAGCCGCCGCUGUAAAAC